AAUGGUGUGCUUGAGUUUGCGAGGGUGUUGAAGUCAAGGGAACAAGUGGUUGUUUAAAUUUGAAUUUAACUGGGCAAACCUUUGUUUUGGUUCUAAUAGUUCGAAGCUAUAUUCUUAUAAAUGUUGUGCUAUGUUCAGCAGGAUAGGUCGGAGUGCCAAUGCAUGGCCCCUGUAGAAGCGUUGCUGCUGUGAAGUUAUCAAAGGAUCAAUCACCAAAGAAGUGAGCUUUUAUGCCCCUCAGAAUCUAUCCACCUGAUGGUUGCAAUAGUUGGUUUCAAACAUUCUAUAUUGUCAGAAUGGAGAGGAUGGUGGUGAACUCUCAAUUGGUGAAAAUAUGAUAGCUGCUGCUGGGCUGCCACAGCUAUUUCAACAAAUCCAUUAUGGGUUGUUAAGACAAGACUGCAAACUCGGGUGGAUCAAAUUACACAACAGCUGAAAUUUGGAAUAUCAGAGUUUGAAAACAAUGAGAACGUAUCAUCAGUACCUCAAGAUCCAGACCACAUAUCCUCUACAUAUCAAGUUGACAAGGAGGGUGCAGAACAAUUGGACCUGGAAAAGCAGGAAGCCAUAGGUGUGCUUGAUGGCUGUCACAGAUUAUACCGUCCUGGUUCUUAUGUUAUGCCUUGAUUAAGUUUUGAGUAUAUUCAGAAGAAGAAGCAGCACCAGCUUAGAACUGUUAUACGUGGAAGUGCAAGCUUCUAUCUCAUGGCUUGUGUGCGUGAUUUGGCUAGUGCAAAUCCCAUAAUAUUUUUAAUUUAUGAUAUUUGUUGUAGAUGGUACUAGCUUUGAUGUGCAAUUCACACAUUUUUUUUUUUAUAAAUGAAAUAUUCUUUUGUGACGGCAAAAUAUCCGUCACCAC
rnacentral:lncRNA from 1 species